rnacentral:rRNA from 1 species
GACGAACGCUGGCGGCGUGCUUAACACAUGCAAGUCGAGCGGUAAGGCCCUUUCGGGGGUACGACGAGCGGCGAACGGGUGAGUAACACGUGGGUGACCUGCCCUCAGCUCUGGGAUAAGCCUGGGAAACCGGGUCUAAUACCGGAUAUGACUCCAUGACGCAUGUUGUGGGGUGGAAAGCCUUGUGCGGCUGAGGAUGGGCCCGCGGCCUAUCAGCUUGUUGGUGGGGUGAUGGCCUACCAAGGCGACGACGGGUAGCCGGCCUGAGAGGGCGACCGGCCACACUGGGACUGAGACACGGCCCAGACUCCUACGGGAGGCAGCAGUCGAGAAUCUUCCGCAAUAGGCGAAAGCCUGACGGAGCGACGCCGCGUGAAGGAUGAAGGCCU